UGGCAUUUGUUGUAGGGUGCGUGAAAUUUAAAUUAUAUUUACAUUCUGGGUAGCAUGAUCUGUGAGACCCAAAGAAGGAAAUAGCUAUUCCUCUAAGUAGUGCAAGGCAAAAAUUCAGUUUCCAUCAGCAAACAGCAGGAUCAUCGUGGGUAACAAAUACGUGUAAUGGAUGAUCAACUAUUAAUUCUCAAAAAGUUUCCGCUGCUGGUACCCCACAAUAGAGAAUUUACGUUUUACGAUGGGUUUAUAUGUGUUAAGGGUGCUGAAUUCAGAAUAUCACUCAAUGUCCCACAUUAUCCAGCACUGAAAGAUAUGCAUCUGGAAUGUUCAUGGGGUAUAAGUGCCCUUCUGCGUGGAAAGGAGAACACAAUAACACAGAUUCAAGAAACCUGCCAUACACUUCAUGAAUUUUUGGAAGCACUAUGUACAUUGGCGGCUGAACAGAUGAGUGACAGCCAAGGUACAGCCAGUGUAACUACCAGAACAUACAUUAACAUCAUGGAAGAACUGGCAUCAGUGAACCCAGCUUACAUAUCACAUUUGUCUGUAGCGCAACAGCAGGUUGUUCUCCAGAAAAUUGAUUCUGCUGGGAGGAAACAUUAUCUAUCAUUGUCAGGAAUUGGAGAACCAAAUCCCCGAGUUUCUGCAGAUCUACCUCAGCAGGCCCUGGCUGUUGUUCGUGCUAAGGGUCCAUCUGUGGGAUCAAUGUACAGAGUAUUUUGUCAACAAGUGGCUUCCCUUCAGAGGUUCUGGACAGUCAUGCAAGAGGUUGAUUCGUCUUGUUGGGUCAUAGAUCCUGAAGAACCAAACCUACGUGAUACAGCUCGAAGGAUCAUCAUUGGUGAAAAUGUCUCUUUGCAACUUCAGGUGAAUCCAUGGGAUCCUUGUUCUCGUCCUGAUAUCAAAUUUCUAGGGCCAGAAAAAACUGUGUCAGAGUUCCGUGAGAGACUCGUUUACAGAUUUGAGGAAUGGGAUUCUGAGAGCAGCCUUCCAGACAACCUUAAAUCAGUCUUGGGUUUCGAAAGCUUUCCUGAGAAACCAGAAGGUACUGAUGAGGAUGAGGCAAACCUUUUGAUACGACCAGGAGAAUGUUUUGUUUGCUUUUCAGUUCGCUUGGAGGGUAGCUUGCCAUCAGAGGCUUGUCCAUCUGAAAGAUGUGGCAGCAUAUUUCACAUGGACUGUCUUUAUCAGUUGCUGAUGUCACUUCCCACCAGCCACCGUAGCUUCAAUAGAAUUAGUGGCGAGUGUCCCAGCUGUGGUGCUAUACCAUAUCCAGAGCAGUCUGCAAUACCAUGGAGACAUCAGAAGUGGCAGCAGAUCUCUCCAGAACAGCAAAUGCAGCUGCCUCUUCUGUGUGGGGUGGCAGUGACGUAUCUUCAUGUUCCUCCUCAGAAGGUGACAGCAUAGCAUUAUCAUCCUCUUCUGCAUGAGCAGCAGAACUGACAAGAGGUUCUUCAGCACUACAGAUGUUGUCAUCUGCCUGCUUCCAUUCUCCAAUACUGACAGUAGAAGAGGGUGCCAACUGGGUGUAAGACUGUAGAAGAGCAGCAUCAGAAUCCAAAGUUGUAUCCACAUUAUGAGCAAUAUCGUGCCCAAUCCCUGGUUGAAGUAAAGCCAUCAGUUCAGCAGUUGACAAAGGUGAUCAACAUAUUACUUUUGUACUGCUUGCAAUACGUCAUAGUCCAAAAAUGACACAAUUUUAUACCAUGAGAGUAUGUCAGACAAGCGAUUUGAUCUUAAAUGCCCAAUAUUGUGCCAGUGAUUGGCAGUACAAAAUCUGCUUUUUUUAAAGUUUUUCAUCAAUUUGUGUUCUCACUAUUCAGUUAAACUAUAACUUACAUGUUUAUUAACACAUACAUGAAAACCUAACUGGUGUUGGUUCAGUGCCUUAUUAAUAUAAUUUUACGGAACCUAAAUCUCAUAAGACAAUCUAAGAUUAACAUUUCCUUAAAUACGCUAUGAUGUCU